rnacentral:tRNA from 9 species
AGGCGAGUAGCUCAAUUGGUAGAGUACCGGUCUCCAAAACCGGGUGCUGUGGGUUCGAGUCCCUCCUCGCCUGCCA